CCUACGGGAGGCAGCAGUGAGGAAUAUUGGUCAAUGGCCGCAGGGCUGAACCAGCCAAGUCGCGUGAGGGAUGACGGUCCUCUGGAUUGUAAGCCUCUUUUGUCAGGGAGCAAAGGGCGCCACGUGUGGCGUUUUGCGAGUACCUGAAGCCAAAGCAUCGGCUAACUCCGUGCCAGCCGCCGCGGUACUACGGGGGCUGCGAGCGUUAUCCGGAUUUGUUGGGUUUAAAGUGUACGCAGCCGGAAUGUCAAGUCAGCGGUAAUAUUUCGGGGCGAAACCCCGUCGUGCCGUUGAAACUGGCGUUCUUGAGUGAGCGAGAAGGAUGCGGAAUGCGUGGUGUAGCGGUGAAAUGCAUAGAUAUCACGCAGAACUCCGAUUGCGAAGGCAGCAUACCGGCGCUCAACUGACGCUCAGGCACGAAAGCGUGGGUAUCGAACAGGAUUAGAUACCCUAGUAGUC
rnacentral:rRNA from 1 species